rnacentral:sRNA from 1 species
CAAACACAGUAGACGAGCAGAAAAGAGGCCUCGAAAUAUCGAGGGAAUAAAAUAGGGGGGAAAAGCAAAUUCUGUAUUGCGUUAUUUGCGUGAGCUACAAAACCACCUACAGUAGUGGUAGUUGGUGAAUCGGUGAAGUAGUUGACAACAGACAUUUUGAGAAGGUAAGUCACAAGUUGGAGAGGGAAUAUACAUUGCGUGAGAACAACGCCGGCCAGAUCGAGUGGGUGAUAUCGAAAAAAAAAAAAAGAAAAGAAGAGAAAGGGGAGUGAAAGAAUCAACUAAACAGUGAAUCACAUCAGAUGAGUGC